rnacentral:lncRNA from 1 species
GAGUGUGCCUUGCUUUGAAAUGCUACUGGGCUCUGGACAGCAGGAUUAGGGACAUGUAAUGCAAUCAUCGAAGUUUGGAGGUGUGCUUGUUUAAUUUAUGUACAAUGUAUCUUUACCAGAGGUCGCAUUCUUGCAGCACCAAGGCAACUGCUUUCUUAAGGAAUG